GAAAUGCAGCUUUUCGUAUUCUGGUAACUUCAAUCACUGUGUCACCCUCAUUGAGAAGAUCUCCGAUCGUCAAAUUACAAAGAUGGCGGCGUGGACAGCGGCGGCGCGUCAAGCUUCAGCCCUCUCUCGACUAUCGGCUUCCAAAUCAGUGAACACAACCCGCCAAGGCGCACUCCUCAUCCAGCGGCGCGGUCUAUCCGGCGGUGGUGACCAUCAUGGUCCUCCAAAGGUGGACUUUUGGCAGGAUCCAAUGAGCCCAUCAAAAUGGAAAGAAGAGCAUUUUGUGAUAGUGUCUCUUACUGGUUGGGGUUUGGCCUUCUAUGGAGGUUAUAAGCUCUUCACAGGAGGAAAGAAAGAGAAGAAGGAAGAGAAAUGAUCACACUGACGUCAGGUUGUCUCUAUUCACCGGCAAUAAAGUAGUGUAAGUUGCUAGGUCUUUGUGGCCUUGUUCAAGCCAAUAUGAGGAUGUAAUUUGUCGUCCCCUAUCCAUUCCAUUCUAGCUUUGAACUUCGAGUUGUACAUGAAAUGUUGGUCUAACAAUCAACUAUGAGUUCUUUUCCUGAAUUGAUAAUCCAUUUAAUAACUAUCACCAUGAGUAUGUUGAGGAGAUGCA